rnacentral:ncRNA from 1 species
UUCUUCAGGGCAGGGUGUAAUUCCCUACCGGCGGUAAAGCCCGCGAGCGGUCUGCUUAUUGGAUAGGCAGAUGUCAGCAGAUCCGGUGAUUCGUGUAUCAGAAGUUUUGCGCGAAAACUCCGGGGCCGACAGUGACAGUCUGGAUGAAAGAAGU